UCCACGUCAUUGCAAUCAGAUAAGUCAGCGCCCGAGAGAGGGAAACAAAACGCUGUUGUGAGCAGUGCAGGUAAAUUUCAGUGCGAAGGUUUUCAACAAAAUAAAGCCACAAUGGGGGCUACUCUUUCAAAGUGGAGAAGUAAACCUUCUACUGUGGAUGUUUUAGAAGGCAUUGACAAGGAAAUUAACAACCUUGAAGAAUUUAGAGAAAAAAACCAAAGACUAUUAAAGCUAUGGCUUGGAAGACUACUUCUUUAUUCAUCUCUCCUUUACCUUCUAACCUGCAUAGUGGUUUAUUUGUGGUAUUUUCCUGAGCAGUGGACAGGACGCCUAAUCAUGGCUCUGCCUUUUUUUGCAUUUCCUGUGUUAGUAUGGUUUGUUAGAAAAGUGAUGAUCUGGCUCUUCUCCAAAAGGACAGAGAGGAACAAUGAAAAACUAGAAGAUUUAAAGUCUCAAAAGAAGAAAAUACUUGAAGAAGUGAUGGAAAAGGAGACCUAUAAAACAGCCAAGUUAAUUUUAGAGAGAUUUGAUCCCGAUUCAAAGAAAAAGAAUGAACUGGAACAAAUCCCAGUAACGGGAGCAGCUUUAACUCCAAGGCCUGGCCAAGAACUUCGUCAACGUAAUACUUCCCAGAGGAACCCUGCUGCCUCAACUCCUGUGCCAGCAAAUCCCAGUCAUGGAGUUGCACUGCCUGUUGUUCCUGGGACCCCUUCCGGGCAGAUGACUACUUCUGCUCCAGGUGGGCCCCCAGAACGUCACCCUGCAUCAAUAGCUCAGCAAAACCUUAUGAGGCAGGCAAUGACACCUGGAACACCAAUGCCUGGAAUGGGCAGACAUCCACCUGGACCUCCACUUGCAAGACCAAUUCUCCCACGGGAAAGGGGAGCCAUGGAUAGAGUGAUAGAGUUCUUAGUAGGAGAUGGUCCUCAAAACAGGUAUGCACUUAUCUGUCAACAGUGUUUUUCUCAUAAUGGUAUGGCCUUGAAAGAGGAAUAUGAGUACAUUGCUUUUAGAUGUGCAUACUGCUUCUUUCUAAAUCCUGCACGGAAAAUGCGUCCUCAAGCACCUCGUUUACCUGACUUCAGCUUUGAAAAAAAAACCGUGGACAGAUUCUCAGGCUUCAGCUGCAUCUCCAUCGGAUUGCUUGACUGAGAAUCUGCAGUCUACAGCUAGGAAAGAAAAGGGGAUCAUUCCCCCCUGCCUUCAGAAAGGUGAAGCAUCGGUACCAUUAGCUACAGCUCCUUGGAGUAAAGUUCACAGUUUCACCUCAAACAGUGCUGAUCUCCAAGUAAAAGAGGAGACUGUAACUAAGACGGAGGAGACACAACCAGAGUCUGACCAAGAGCCAGAAAUCCCUGUGCUCCAAUGUGAAGAGCAGCAAGUAGAAGAGUCCCUUAGACAAGAAGAUGGGCAGCCCUCCAAAAAUGAAAAGGAAAAAGAUGACGAUGUAUCUCUCAUGGAAACGGAAUAAAACAAAACCAAGCAUAAAUGGAACGUUUUUGUUUUUUUGUUAGCAUCUAAACUCCUUGCUUUUUAAAAAAAAAAAAAAAAAAAAUUCACCGAAUUUUUUAACCUCCAUCUUUUUUUUUUUUUUUUUUUUUUUUUUUUUUUUGUUAAAAAAAAAAAAAGCAUGAGUUGUCUAAUUAAACCCUUUACUGUGGUCCUGAGUGCUUUUUGAAAAAUGCAGCAGUUGGAAGGUAUGGGUGUAUAUUCUCUGUCCUAGCACUUACUGAAGUAAUAUUCAGAAAAUGAAAUGGAUUUUUUUUCCAUUUGUUGCAAUUGGAAUGUCUUCUCUUAUUUUAUUAAUUUUUAUUUUCAUAUUUGAAGGAAUCAAAAAAUGUAAUCAGUGACGGUAAAACGUACUCGGCAGUUUUUACCUGGAAUAGAGACGACCAGUACGAUAACUUUUUGUCUUUAAUGUGUUUUUAAAGGAGUUUACACCGUAUGGUGUAAAAUGCUAUAAUUUAUGGAAUGUACAAUAUGUAUAGCUUAUUUAAUACUUCUGGCUAAUGGCUCUGGCCAAUUAAGUAUUAUAAGAAUAUCUUGUGCAAUCAUUUGUGCAGGAUCUGCCUUAUGUUUACAAGGUACGGGUAGCAAAGUAAUGGUUUCUUCAGAUUUUAUUUAUUAAGAUUUUGCAAGGUGUGUGCAUCUGUGUGGUUUUUAAGGAUUUCGGGUUAAAUAAAGCACAUAUUAUCU